rnacentral:tRNA from 1 species
UGGGUUGGGGCUCAGUGGUAGAGCACUUACCUAGAAUGUCUGAGGCACUGGGUUCAAUCCUCAGCACCACAU